GGGUUGUGAGGUUAAGCGACUAAGCGUACACGGUGGAUGCCCUGGCAGUCAGAGGCGAUGAAGGACGUGCUAAUCUGCGAAAAGCGCCGGCGAGGUGAUAUGAACCUUUGACCCGGCGAUGUCCGAAUGGGGAAACCCAGUGUGAUUCGUCACACUAUCGUUAACUGAAUACAUAGGUUAACGAGGCGAACCGGGGGAACUGAAACAUCUAAGUACCCCGAGGAAAAGAAAUCAACCGAGAUUCCCCCAGUAGCGGCGAGCGAACGGGGAGCAGCCCGGAGUCUGAAUCAGCUUGUGUGUUAGUGGAACGGUCUGGAAAGUCCGACGGUACAGGGUGAUAGUCCCGUACACGAAAAUGCACAGGUUGUGAACUCGAAGAGUAGGGCGGGACACGUGGUAUCCUGUCUGAAUAUGGGGGGACCAUCCUCCAAGGCUAAAUACUCCUGACUGACCGAUAGUGAACCAGUACCGUGAGGGAAAGGCGAAAAGAACCCCGGCGAGGGGAGUGAAAAAGAACCUGAAACCGUGUACGUACAAGCAGUGGGAGCCUACUUGUUAGGUGACUGCGUACCUUUUGUAUAAUGGGUCAGCGACUUAUAUUCUGUAGCAAGGUUAACCGAAUAGGGGAGCCGAAGGGAAACCGAGUCUUAACUGGGCGUUAAGUUGCAGGGUAUAGACCCGAAACCCGGUGAUCUAGCCAUGGGCAGGUUGAAGGUUGGGUAACACUAACUGGAGGACCGAACCGACUAAUGUUGAAAAAUUAGCGGAUGACCUGUGGCUGGGGGUGAAAGGCCAAUCAAACCGGGAGAUAGCUGGUUCUCCCCGAAAGCUAUUUAGGUAGCGCCUCGUGAACUCAUCUUCGGGGGUAGAGCACUGUUUCGGCUAGGGGGCCAUCCCGGCUUACCAACCCGAUGCAAACUACGAAUACCGAAGAAUGUUAUCACGGGAGACACACGGCGGGUGCUAACGUCCGUCGUGAAGAGGGAAACAACCCAGACCGCCAGCUAAGGUCCCAAAGUCAUGGUUAAGUGGGAAACGAUGUGGGAAGGCACAGACAGCCAGGAUGUUGGCUUAGAAGCAGCCAUCAUUUAAAGAAAGCGUAAUAGCUCACUGGUCGAGUCGGCCUGCGCGGAAGAUGUAACGGGGCUAAACCAUGCACCGAAGCUGCGGCAGCGACACUAUGUGUUGUUGGGUAGGGGAGCGUUCUGUAAGCCGUUGAAGGUGGCCUGUGAGGGUUGCUGGAGGUAUCAGAAGUGCGAAUGCUGACAUAAGUAACGAUAAAGCGGGUGAAAAGCCCGCUCGCCGGAAGACCAAGGGUUCCUGUCCAACGUUAAUCGGGGCAGGGUGAGUCGACCCCUAAGGCGAGGCCGAAAGGCGUAGUCGAUGGGAAACAGGUUAAUAUUCCUGUACUUGGUGUUACUGCGAAGGGGGGACGGAGAAGGCUAUGUUAGCCGGGCGACGGUUGUCCCGGUUUAAGCAUGUAGGCGGAGGUUCCAGGUAAAUCCGGUACCUUUUUAACGCUGAGGUGUGAUGACGAGGCACUACGGUGCUGAAGUAACAAAUGCCCUGCUUCCAGGAAAAGCCUCUAAGCAUCAGGUAACACGAAAUCGUACCCCAAACCGACACAGGUGGUCAGGUAGAGAAUACCAAGGCGCUUGAGAGAACUCGGGUGAAGGAACUAGGCAAAAUGGUGCCGUAACUUCGGGAGAAGGCACGCUGAUAUGUAGGUGAAGCCCCUGCGGGUGGAGCUGAAAUCAGUCGAAGAUACCAGCUGGCUGCAACUGUUUAUUAAAAACACAGCACUGUGCAAACACGAAAGUGGACGUAUACGGUGUGACGCCUGCCCGGUGCCGGAAGGUUAAUUGAUGGGGUUAGCGGUAACGCGAAGCUCUUGAUCGAAGCCCCGGUAAACGGCGGCCGUAACUAUAACGGUCCUAAGGUAGCGAAAUUCCUUGUCGGGUAAGUUCCGACCUGCACGAAUGGCGUAAUGAUGGCCAGGCUGUCUCCACCCGAGACUCAGUGAAAUUGAACUCGCUGUGAAGAUGCAGUGUACCCGCGGCAAGACGGAAAGACCCCGUGAACCUUUACUAUAGCUUGACACUGAACACUGGUCCUUGAUGUGUAGGAUAGGUGGGAGGCUUUGAAGCGUGGACGCCAGUCUGCGUGGAGCCGACCUUGAAAUACCACCCUUUAAUGGCUGGUGUUCUAACGUAGACCCGUAAUCCGGGUUGCGGACAGUGUCUGGUGGGUAGUUUGACUGGGGCGGUCUCCUCCCAAAGAGUAACGGAGGAGCACGAAGGUUAGCUAAUCCUGGUCGGACAUCAGGAGGUUAGUGCAAUGGCAUAAGCUAGCUUGACUGCGAGAGUGACGGCUCGAGCAGGUGCGAAAGCAGGUCAUAGUGAUCCGGUGGUUCUGAAUGGAAGGGCCAUCGCUCAACGGAUAAAAGGUACUCCGGGGAUAACAGGCUGAUACCGCCCAAGAGUUCAUAUCGACGGCGGUGUUUGGCACCUCGAUGUCGGCUCAUCACAUCCUGGGGCUGAAGUAGGUCCCAAGGGUAUGGCUGUUCGCCAUUUAAAGUGGUACGCGAGCUGGGUUUAGAACGUCGUGAGACAGUUCGGUCCCUAUCUGCCGUGGGCGCUGGAGAAUUGAGGGGGGCUGCUCCUAGUACGAGAGGACCGGAGUGGACGCAUCACUGGUGUUCGGGUUGUCAUGCCAAUGGCACUGCCCGGUAGCUAAAUGCGGAAGAGAUAAGUGCUGAAAGCAUCUAAGCACGAAACUUGCCCCGAGAUGAGUUCUCCCUGAGACU
rnacentral:rRNA from 1 species